rnacentral:rRNA from 1 species
UACGGGGGGGGCAAGCGUUGCUCGGAAUCACUGGGCGUAAAGGGUGCGUAGGCGGCCGUGCAAGUCUGGCGUGAAAGCCCCGGGCUCAGCCCGGGAAGUGCGCUCGAAACUGCGCGGCUCGAGUGCCGGAGGGGAGAGUGGAAUUCCCGGUGUAGCGGUGGAAUGCGCAGAUAUCGGGAGGAACACCCGUAGCGAAGGCGGUUCUCUGGGCCAAUACUGACGCUGAGGAGCGAAAGCGUGGGGAGCAAACAGGG